ACACUUGGGUUCAUCUUCAUGAGGUGUAAUGGCGCCGGGAUGCGCUCUCCUCUUCUCAUUUGCCAAUUUAUUGCAGAUCCCUCCUCAAAAAAGUUUUGGGACUAACUCAGCCCCAUGGAGAUCAAGGUGAAUUAGAAAAACAACAAAACAAAACAAGAUUCAUUUUAACAUCUCAUUUUUCUAUCUCCAACUUUCCCUCCCCUCCUCCCACCCCAGGAAGAAAAGACUACGUUUGUUUCUGGUGAUACAUUCAUUGUAGGUGGGUGGGUGACUUCUAGAAGAGGAAAAUCAAGAAGAUUUGGAGAAGGAGUCUUGGAAGCUCUGGUGAAGUUUUCCAAAACUGGGAAGGACAGAGCCACAGGUCUGCCUGUUCUUUUGCUUUGCCAUUUGUGUGGAUACCUAGUAGAGCAAUUUGGGUGCCAUUCUUUGAGGAAUCCAUUGGAUCUGUCAGAAAGCUGAGUCUGCUCAGCCUGUGUUAGUGGAGAAGAGGGAAGGAAACUGGCUGGAGGCCGCUGGACCCACAGAGGACAAUAGACAAUCUCCUGCUGAUGCCCACUGGAUCCAAAGAGAGAAACUCUAUAGAAUUAUGAUCUAGGUUUGACUGACUCCUGGCAAGAAGCCCUACCCGCCAGCCAAUUUGGAUGAGGAACACAGAAUCACUUGUGGAAUUAAGAGAUAAGGACAGCAAGUAGACCAAACUAUAAGCUGAGGUUCAAGGUGGCAUAGGCUGGGUGCCACAGUGCUGUGUCUCAGGUGGGCUAGAAGUGCGAAACGGACAGUACCAGAAGGAAAACUUGAGGGUAAACUUGGGUUUUUUACCAUUCCCAGCCUUAGGAGGCCAAAGGCUGAACAAAUACUUGUCAAAUGAAUGAUUAAGAUCCCUUAAGGUACUAAGUAGGAUAUGAAAAAAAUUCGUGGAGAAGAAAGCAUUUGAAGUGAAUAUCUUUAAAUUUUAGGGGAGAAGAGCAUUACAUUCUGAGAUUGCAGGAUAUGCAGAGGGCAGAUGCUUAAUAUAAAAGUGCUUAAAAUGAUGAUGGCAGAAGCCUGCUGAAUGAUGUGGAAUAAAGAAGUAUGUGAUAAUGA
rnacentral:lncRNA from 1 species